GUUUCUUCCAAAUCUCCCAGAAUUGGAGUCUUUGCAUGAACCCUAACCGGAGCUUUAUUUGCAAUAACAUUUGAUGUAAAAAAUUCUGGGCCAAUGAUCAGUCUCAGGCAUUGGCUUCAUGUGCGUGUUAAGGCCUGUUGCGACUUCUUGCUCUAACACUCGUGAAUUCUUCAUUGUCACCCUAACAUCUUCUCCACUCAACCUCAGAAAAUGAUCUAUAUCUCUUAUGGCAGAAACUCCCUCUUGGUGAACUGCUAAUAAUACUAUAAAGAUGAGAAGCAUAAAUGCAUGACGUGUAGUAAAAUUCAUGGUUUUUGUGGAUUUAAGAGGAACAGGGAGGAGGAACUUGCUUGCCUUAGAGCAAAGAAAUACUAAAGCAGUUUCUGUGAUUCUAAGGCAGUGUUUCUGUGAUCCAUAGCUGUAGAUAUAAGCUCUGUGACUUAUAAGAUUUGGUGGGGCAAUAAAAAGUUUAAACCAGGGAGGGAUGGAAUCCCUAGGUUGGGUUUUAGAUUCACCCAAUGAUUCCACUACUCUAAAUUAAGAGUUACAGAAUCCAAGUAGGAUAAUAAAUGCCUUUGGAACACCAUCCUUGAGAAGCUAAGCAUCUUUUUCACUUGCUUUCCCUGCAUCUCUAUCAUUUGCUCUGCUUUUGUCUUCUGAGCAAAUACCACUUUAAUGUCUUUGACUGCCAGCUAAGCUGCCACGCUACAAAUCUUAUGUGACUCAUGUUAUGGAAUGUGGCAACUUAUAUCAUGUACCCCAGUCUAUUUGCAAGGGUUUCUUAGUUGUUAAGGAAUGAAAGGAAAGAAGAGGCCGAGGAGCUAAACUGCCAAGACUGGUACUGGGUAAGCAGUCAUAAAAGCAAAAUGUGAUGAAAAAGGAAUAGGGGAAUAUAAAAUCCCCACCUAAAAAAUCCAAACACUUGCUUUAUACCUCCAAGAAAUCAUACUUUAGGAUUGCAAGCUCUCUUCUCAAUACAACAAAAUAGCAUUCCUGAGUUCUUGUGCUAAAUGUGUUUCUUUAUGCUUUUCCUUCUUUGCUCUUUAAUAUUGAUAAAUCAUAUGCUAGUUGGAACAUACUAAAGUGCUUCUGAUUCUUUAUUCAAACUAUGUUAUGAGAUUGUAUGCAA